AACGAACGCUGGCGGCAUGCCUAACACAUGCAAGUCGAACGAGACCUUCGGGUCUAGUGGCGCACGGGUGCGUAACGCGUGGGAACCUGCCCUUAGGUUCGGAAUAACUCCCCGAAAGGGGUGCUAAUACCGGAUAAUGUCUUCGGACCAAAGAUUUAUCGCCUUUGGAUGGGCCCGCGUUGGAUUAGCUAGUUGGUAGGGUAAAAGCCUACCAAGGCGACGAUCCAUAGCUGGUAUGAGAGGAUGAUCAGCCACACUGGGACUGAGACACGGCCCAGACUCCUACGGGAGGAAGCAGUGGGGAAUAUUGGACAAUGGGCGAAAGCAUGAUCCAGCAAUGCCGCGUGAGUGAUGAAGGCCUUAGGGUUGUAAAGCUCUUUUACCCGGGAUGAUAAUGACAGUACCGGGAGAAUAAGCGCCGGCUAACUCCGUG
rnacentral:rRNA from 1 species